AUAUUCUUCAGCAGUACGUCUACACAUAUUACAACAAUAAAGAGAUUAAGAUGGCACUUGCAAAAAGAUGUUAUGAAAAUUUGUGAAGUAUUCCAUAUUUUU